UUUUCGUGAUUAAAUUCGUUUACUUAUAUUGUAAGUUUGUACCGGUUCAAUAUGACUAUAUUACAUUUGCUGUUUCUUGUAAUCGUUUCUUUUAUUGCAAAAUGCAAUGCAUUCCCAAA